rnacentral:rRNA from 1 species
UACUUAGUGGCAGACGGGUGAGUAACAUGUGGGUAUCUACCCUUUGGCCUGGAAUAACACGAGGAAACUUGUGCUAACACCGGAUAAGUCUUUACGGAGAAAGCUUUAUGCACCAUUGGAUGAGCCCGCACUUGAUUAGUUUGUUGGUAGGGUAAUGGCCUACCAAGACUAUGAUCAAUAGCUGAUUUGAGAGGAUGAUCAGCCACAUUGGGACUGAGACACGGCCCAAACUCCUACGGGAGGCAGCAGUGGGGAAUCUUGCACAAUGGAGGAAACUCUGAUGCAGCGAUGCCGCGUGAGUGAAGAAGGCCUUUGGGUUGUAAAGCUCUUUCGUCGGGGAAGAAAAUGACUGUACCCGAAUAAGAAGGUCCGGCUAACUUCGUGCCAGCAGCCGCGGUAAUACGAAGGGACCUAGCGUAGUUCGGAAUUACUGGGCUUAAAGAGUUCGUAGGUGGUUGAAAAAGUUGGUGGUGAAAUCCCAGAGCUUAACUCUGGAACUGCCAUCAAAACUUUUCAGCUAGAGUAUGAUAGAGGAAAGCAGAAUUUCUAGUGUAGAGGUGAAAUUCGUAGAUAUUAGAAAGAAUACCAACUGC